rnacentral:rRNA from 1 species
AUGAACGCUGGCGGCGUGCCUAAUACAUGCAAGUCGAGCGAACGGACGAGAAGCUUGCUUCUCUGAUGUUAGCGGCGGACGGGUGAGUAACACGUGGAUAACCUACCUAUAAGACUGGGAUAACUUCGGGAAACCGGAGCUAAUACCGGAUAAUAUUUUGAACCGCAUGGUUCAAAAGUGAAAGACGGUCUUGCUGUCACUUAUAGAUGGAUCCGCGCUGCAUUAGCUAGUUGGUAAGGUAACGGCUUACCAAGGCAACGAUGCAUAGCCGACCUGAGAGGGUGAUCGGCCACACUGGAACUGAGACACGGUCCAGACUCCUAAGGGAGGCAGGAGUAGGGAAUCUUCCGCAAUGGGAGAAAGCCUGACGGAGCAACGCCGCGUGAGUGAUGAAGGUCUGCGGAUCGUAAAACUCUGUUAUUAGGGAAGAACAUAUGUGUAAGUAACUGUGCACAUCUUGACGGUACCUAAUCAGAAAGCCACGGCUAACUACGU